UCGAACGGAAAGGCCUGCAGCUUGCUGCGGGUACUCGAGUGGCGAACGGGUGAGUAACACGUGGGUGAUCUGCCUUGCACUUCGGGAUAAGCUUGGGAAACUGGGUCUAAUACCGGAUAGGACAGCUGUUUAGUGUCAGUUGUGGAAAGUUUUUUCGGUGCAAGAUGAGCUCGCGGCCUAUCAGCUUGUUGGUGGGGUAAUGGCCUACCAAGGCGUCGACGGGUAGCCGGCCUGAGAGGGUGUACGGCCACAUUGGGACUGAGAUACGGCCCAGACUCCUACGGGAGGCAGCAGUGGGGAAUAUUGCACAAUGGGCGGAAGCCUGAUGCAGCGACGCCGCGUGGGGGAUGAAGGCCUUCGGGUUGUAAACUCCUUUCGACAGGGACGAAGCGUAAGUGACGGUACCUGUAUAAGAAGCACCGGCUAACUACGUGCCAGCAGCCGCGGUAAUACGUAGGGUGCGAGCGUUGUCCGGAAUUACUGGGCGUAAAGAGCUCGUAGGUGGUUUGUCGCGUCGUCUGUGAAAUUCCGGGGCUUAACUCCGGGCGUGCAGGCGAUACGGGCUGACUUGAGUGCUGUAGGGGAGACUGGAAUUCCUGGUGUAGCGGUGAAAUGCGCAGAUAUCAGGAGGAACACCGAUGGCGAAGGCAGGUCUCUGGGCAGUAACUGACGCUGAGGAGCGAAAGCAUGGGUAGCGAACAGGAUUAGAUACCCUGGUAGUCCAUGCCGUAAACGGUGGGCGCUAGGUGUAGGGGGCUUCCACGUCUUCUGUGCCGUAGCUAACGCAUUAAGCGCCCCGCCUGGGGAGUACGCCGCAAGGUCA
rnacentral:rRNA from 1 species